UAAUCUAGGUAACCUAAUAUCUGUGCACUGGAGAGGCUGAGAACCCUGCUGCUCCCCAGCCAGGAUGCUUGCUGAUGCUUCAGCAGCCUCAGUAUGGUGCAGAAGGAUUCCUGGAGAGAUGAUGAUGGAGAGCCAAAGAAGCUGGGAUUUGAUGUUAAAGCAGCAGCAGCAGCAGCAGCAGCAGCAGCAGCAGCAGCAGCAGCAGCAUCAGAGUAGAUACACUUACCAGCAAGAAGUAACAGAAGACAGGCACACAGCACAGCUGUUCCCUUGAGCUUCAUGGGCUGCUGUGCAAGGGCAACGGCACCCUGGGAGAGGAUCUAUCUCAUCAGCUAAUCCUUUCUGGAAAUGCACCCACAGAUGCACCCAGGAGAGAGUCCCCUAGUUGAUUACAGACUGAGGCAGGCGAACAAUCAAGAAUGAACACCACAGGAGCCAAAGUACAGUGCUUUGCCACAUCAGCCGGCCUGGGACGGGCUUCUUUGAUUCAGCAAACAUAUGGAGUCACUUCUACACUGCUGGUCUAAGUAUGUGACGACGGUCAGAGUUGGAUACCCAGAGACACUGCCUUGGGUUGAGGAUGUGCAGGCGUUUUACAAAGAGAGGAGUAGAAUGAGAGGACCUACCAGAUGCCAAGCAAAGGGGCCUGGGAGAAUAGAAACUGUGGGCUGAAGUCCAGCGUACUGUCCCGUUUAAACCGUCUUUUGGAAAGUUCACAAGAAAGGGAAGAUAUAAGCUUCUGAGGAAAGAAUGCAGUCACUGUCAAAAGAAACCUUGACCCUAACUGUAGAGUGGAAGUCUCAGGCAGAAGCCCCGUGACUCCCUCAGCUGAGUCCGACGGUGCUCAUCAGGCAGUGUGUCUCCUGGUAUCCUUGGAGCUGGUCAGCUUCAGGGUUCUGCUCACUCGAGUGUCCUCUCUACGCUCUACUUAAUGUAUGCAUUGCUUUAAACAUCACUGUCAAGGGUCACGUGAACAAAGCUGCAACUGGGAAAACCGCCAUGGCAGGCUCCCCAGAGCGACUGCACAGAAAUCAAAAGCAGGGUGCCUGGUGACCCCAUCCGAACUGAGCGUGGCAAUGGCCACCUUCUGGAAACCCUCGCCAGAAGGUCAGAGCUGCAGUACUUGGAGUUCAUCUCUCCAGAAGAGUGGUCUGAGCGGAAACAGGAUUGGAGAAAUCACAAGAGGCAAAGAGGAGGUGUACUCCAGCUUUGGAACACUGCAAAUAUAUAAAGCUAGGAAGAAGGAUGGUCAAGCCGAGAGGACAUGAAGAAAGGACAGGACAAGAACCGAAGCAGACAUGGCGCCUACCCGGAAAGCAAGUGCUGGUCCUCGGUGGCUGCUGUGCUGGGUCCAGGGCUGGUCGCUGGGAAUCGUUCAGUUCCAAGCUGUGUUUUGCUGUUUCUCUUCCUAAGAGCAUCGUGUUGGGUCAUAUGCAGUCCCUUUAAUUCUUCCUCCCCCCUUUCCUUCUCCGGAAAAUGAAGAUAACAAUUUUAUUAUUGUGGAGUGAUUGUAGGGAUUAACAAGAUUCUCCUAAAUGUAAAUCACCCUGCAAAGCACUGGCAGGCAGCAGGAACUCCACAAGUGUUCAUUUCAGGCUCGCAAGUGAGGAAACCACUAUGCUGUAAUCAUCGCCCAGAAAACCAAACCUUCGGGGCCGCCCCCAGACCCACCCCUUUAUGCACCAAAGAGACAGAGUCUUUUUUUUGGGGGGGGGGGUUCUCUGUAUAGCCCUGGCUGUCCUGGAACUCACUCUGUAGACCAGGCUGGCCUCGAACUCAGAAAUCCGCCUGCCUCUGCCUCCCAGAGUGCUGAGAUUACAGGCGUGCGCCACCACCGCCCGGCUGAGACAGAGUCUUUCGAGUCCAAGAUUGCUGGUUAGUGCGCAGCGGCCCUGGCCCUGAGGGAACCCCGUGGCUGACAUUUCAGAACCCCCAGAACACUGAGCUAACUGAUUUAAUAAAUAUGGCAGAAAGCAAACCCAAAGAGAUGGUUGCGCAGCACAGAGAUGGGCAUCCCCUGCAGCUACCUGUUUUCUUUAAAAAGUCUAUUGCGAAGGACAACAAGAAUCCUACUUGGUGCAGAGAAGAAAACGAGAGUCGUUCCCACUUGAACGUUCACGCGGACGUCUUUCCUUACCUUUCUCUAUGCUAAAAAUACAGAAAUAUAAAUCGUGAUGUAAACGUGGGUUUUCCUGUAUGCACUGCUUUGAAAGCUACGUUCUUUUUUGCUCAGUACUCCAUUAAAGGCCAAGCUCUGUCUUCUCUGUAAUGAUCCAUUCUCGGGAGAGUGAACAGUCCCACAAGAACGACAUCAAUUCUCCCAGAUGGCAAUGUCCUGGUGACCUUGUUAGCUUCCGCAGGGCUGGGUGGUGCUUCUUAAUUCUGCCACUGGGCGGCCCCAGGUGCCACAGGAACCUUUGGGAGACAUAGUUGUAGCAUAUCCAGAUCCACUAAUCAAGAAGCAGGGCUAAUCAAGGGCAGAUGACAACGGAUGCCAGGUACUAGGGGACAGGCAGGACAGAUGGCAAUGGGUGGCCGCGGGGAACUCCUUUAGAAAGGAGGGACAAGAAACAAAAUAUGUGACAAAGGCAGCGGUGAAAGGAUGAGGAAGAAAUGUUCUAGAGGAAACAAGAACAUGGUGGAGGUGAGACAGCCCUGCUGUGCAGAGAGACUGUGUGGGGACACAGGACUAACUGGAGCGCAGUUCACAGUGGGGAGGAGAGCAGCCAGGGGCCAGGUGAUGUGGCCAAAGGAAGAGGGUCAAACUUUCUUACAAGUCAGGGGGAAUUCACUGCAAAGUUCCAAGCAACAUGGGUGAAAUUUCAUUUUAAAAAGACUUUUUGUGGAAAU